rnacentral:rRNA from 1 species
UACGUAGGGUGCGAGCGUUAAUCGGAAUUACUGGGCGUAAAGCGUGCGCAGGCGGUCUGUUAAGACCGAUGUGAAAUCCCCGGGCUUAACCUGGGAACUGCAUUGGUGACUGGCAGGCUUUGAGUGUGGCAGAGGGAGGUAGAAUUCCACGUGUAGCAGUGAAGUGCGUAGAGAUGUGGAGGAAUGCCGAUGGCGAAGGCAGCCUCCUGGGCCAACACUGACGCUCAUGCACGAAAGCGUGGGGAGCAAACAGG